GAUGAACGCUGGCGGCGUGCCUAAUACAUGCAAGUCGAACGCUGGAACUCUAGCUUGCUAGAUUGAAGGAGUGGCGAACGGGUGAGUAAUACAUAAGCAACCUACCCACGAAGACUGGGAUAAUCUCUGGAAACGGGGACUAAUACCGGAUAGGUAAUCGGAAGGCAUCUUCUGAUUAUUAAAGGUUAAAAACACUGGUGGAUGGGCUUAUGGCGCAUUAGUUAGUUGGUGAGGUAACGGCCCACCAAGACGAUGAUGCGUAGCCGGCCUGAGAGGGUGAACGGCCACAUUGGGACUGAGACACGGCCCAGACUCCUACGGGAGGCAGCAGUAGGGAAUUUUCGGCAAUGGGGGAAACCCUGACCGAGCAACGCCGCGUGAGUGAUGACGGCCUUCGGGGUGUAAAGCUCUGUUGUAAGGGAAGAACGGUAGAUAGAGAAUAUCUAAAUGACGGUACCUUACCAGAAAGCCACGGCUAACUACGUG
rnacentral:rRNA from 1 species